GUCUCGUCGUCUUAUUUUCCAAAAUGAAGACGUGUUUUUGGUUAGGACUACUUUUUCUUCCCCUGGCUUAUUGUGCGUUGGAUAACAGAGGGACAAACUUUCUGGUAGCGUUUCUGGACAAUUUCCAUAAACCUACGCAAGACAUUAGCCCAGAGCUGUUCAUCACCACUGCCAGUACAAAGCCAGUGCACGUUCAUGUUACCUCUCCGGGUUCUACCCACCCUAGUAUCUCCCAGUCCUUCGUGGUCACUAAGGGUGUCGUCCAUAAAGUGGAGGUUGACCCCCAUUUCCGGUUGAACCACACCCAGCUGACACAUAAAGUCAUCAAGAUCUCGGCCAGCGACGAGAUCGUGGUUUACGGCGUGAACAGGGAGGCGGCAUCUGAUGACGGGUACCUGGCUCUACCCACCAACGUCCUGGGUAAGGAGUACUAUACCAUCUCCUACUCCCCCGCAUACUACUACUGUGUGUUUGGAGUCAUUGCGGGACACGACAACACACAGGUCUCCAUUCAGCUUCCAAAUCAUGACGGCAUUGAGGUGACUUAUAAACACCAUGUUUACCACCGCUCCAGUGUGUGACGCUCCCCCGAUGACCAGGGGCGAUGAAGUGGACAAUGACUGUGAUGGCCGUGUGGACGAAGAGAACUGCGACGGCACAGAUACCGAUGGAGAUGGACAUAUCGACGAAGACUGCAAUAAUGAAGAAUUACAGAUCAUUGGUAGAAGAUGAGACCUUGCAUGUUGACGAUGAAAUAGCAGACAUUGUACAUAAUGUUCAGAUUAAUAAAGAAGAAAUCGGU
rnacentral:misc_RNA from 1 species